rnacentral:rRNA from 1 species
GACGAACGCUGGCGGCGUGCUUAACACAUGCAAGUCGAACGGAAAGGCCCUGCUUUUGUGGGGUGCUCGAGUGGCGAACGGGUGAGUAACACGUGAGUAACCUGCCCUUGACUUUGGGAUAACUUCAGACAACUGGGGCUAAUACCGGAUAGGAGCUCCUGCUGCAUGGUGGGGGUUGGACAGUUUCGGCGGUUGGGGAUGGACUCGCGGCUUAUCAGCUUGUUGGUGGGGUAGUGGCUUACCAAGGCUUUGACGGGUAGCCGGCCUGAGAGGGUGACCGGCCACAUUGGGACUGAGAGACGGCCCAGACUCCUACGGGAGGCAGCAGUGGGGAAUAUUGCACAAUGGGCGGAAGCCUGAUGCAGCAACGCCGCGUGCGGGAUGACGGCCUUCGGGUUGUAAACCGCUUUCGCCUGUGACGAAGCGUGAGUGACGGUAAUGGGUAAAGAAGCACCAGCUAACUACGUG